ACUUUGGCAUUGUGGAAGGACUC
rnacentral:piRNA from 1 species